rnacentral:rRNA from 1 species
AGGGACAGCAGUAGCCGCGGUAAUACGAGGGGGGCAAGCGUUGUUCGGAAUUAUUGGGCGUAAAGGGCGCGUAGGCGGUUUGACAAGUCUGAUGUGAAAUCUCUGGGCUCAACCCAGAGUCUGCAUCGGAAACUGUCGAGCUUGAGUAUGGGAGAGGUGAGUGGAAUUUCCGGUGUAGCGGUGAAAUGCGUAGAUAUCGGAAGAACACCAGUGGCGAAGGCGACUGACUGGACAAGUAUUGACGCUGAGGUGCGAAAGCGUGGGGAGCAAACAGGAUUAGAGACCCCUGUAGUCCUGUCCUUAUACACA